GGAACCCUCUUGUCAAAUGCCAACUCUAUGGCAGUUUUAGUGGUAAUCAUUGGCCGUCGGCUCCUCGCUAUUUGGAAGGGGUUUCAUACAUCUUUAUUGGUCUUUCGCAAUGUCAAUCAUUGGAUCGCGUCUUGUGCGAAAUAAUUUCAAAAUAGUCCAAUCAUAUUAUUGUUCUACCAGCUCGCCUGCAUAGAUCUCGGAGCGGCUAUUACGCAAUCCAACGGGCGAUGUUGUGA
rnacentral:lncRNA from 1 species